CGAAUCCGACUGGUCUCUUCUUCUUUUCUUGUCCACGUCUCAAUCUUCGACCGAAUUCGAACUUACAGUGUGAGUGAUAAUUGAACACGAUCAAGAGAUGGUGGGAGACUUCACUUUCGUUACGAAAAAUCUCUGCUUUGGUUUAUGUUUAACAUUUAAACUCAAACUAGCCCAGUUUCCAAUUCCAUUGGCGUUCAUUUUCACUUUUCUCAAUUCAGGUUUGCUCUCCCUCUCUCUCUCUCUCUCUCUCCAUCGAUCUUGAUGCUAGCUUGAUUUGAUUUUCGAAUCCAAAUUUGGUUAAGCUUCAGUUCUGGGUUGCAUUUGCAUCGUUACAUUAGGCAAAUGUUCAGCGAUUUCGCCAGAGUUUAAAUUUGAUAUCUGGUUAAAAGUAAUUGCUUUUUGAAGAUUGAGAUAAGUAGCUUGGUGAGUCUCUCUCUAUGGAUCUGAAGAGUUACAGCUUCUAUACAGACUUAGUUAAGAUUUUCAUUGCCGAUGUUAUUCAAUUUCUUUUCUGAUUUGUAAAUUUUGGUGAGAAAAGUCUGCCUUUGAAUUUAGAUUCUUAAUAUUGGAUUGCUUUUCUGUGACUUUUUGAAGAUUUUGACAAUCCUCCUCUCAUGCUCUGUUUAAGGCAAUCAUUAACGGUGAAUGGGCUCACUCACAUACUCGAAACUGUGUAUCUGAGCCCGAUGCAAAUGGAAUGUUAUAUGCUGUUCAGCAUCAAGCCAAAGAGCAAACCUGAGAGCCAAAAGAUGAUGAAAAGAGGAUCCAGUUCUGAUGGCUUUGGAGUAUGAAGAUGGUGAUGGCUAAACUAAAGAGGAUUCUCUCUGUGAAUGGUCGGGUAACGAUCUCGCCAAAACCCUUUUACAUCUUCUUCCUUGACUUAGGAAUAAGAGAACAAAAGAUUCAUCUUUAUGUGUUUGUAACUCUUAGUUUACAAAACACAGAUUUUGAUACAGAUCUUAGGAUAAGACACAUUGUAACGAAUUUUCUUUGAAAUGGUUCUGUCCAGACAAGUGUAUCAGAAUUUCUGGCAUACCCAUAGAUACGGUUAGCUGUUAAACCGUUUAUUUAAGCUAAAUCAGGAUUACAAAAUACCAAACUAACUCUAUGUUUUCUGAAUAAUACACAUAUCUUCAUCCUUCUAAAAACCAUCUUUUGCUAUCAAAAGAUGCAUCUCCCAGGGAAAAACUAAACCUAAAAU
rnacentral:lncRNA from 1 species